UCCUCAACCUCACACCCCGGCCCCUCCCUCCCCCUCUACUCCCUCUCCCUCCAAGGCCAGGUCGCCGACAAUCUCCCGCCACCGGAGGCGACCGCGAAGCUCCUCCUCUCGACCUCGAUCUCAAUGCUCCGCCUCUACGGCGCCGACCCCGCCAUCCUCAAAUCCCUCGCCGGCACCAACAUCUCUGUCGUCAUCAAGCGAAUAUGUCUCGAAAAGGAUUAAUGGAGCAAGACCUUAGUAAGCUGGACGUGAACACGCUGAUCCCGUUGUCGUCGGAGGUGAUUUCUCGUCAAACUCGAGGCCGCCAUUGCCAAGAAAGAUGGUGAUGCUGUUGAAGGAGCACUUGACCGGCUGAGCCAAAUUGGUUGGGCCAAAAAUAUGGAGUUCUUAACCAUAUGUGUCACGCCAUGUGGUUAGUUCUCCAUUAAGAUGAAGUUCUGGGCAAGUGCUUAGGCAACUCUACGGGAGCUGACCUCUUUUGGAAUAAAAAAUGCAGAGAACCUGGCAAUAACAAGUAUUGGCUUAUGGAAGAGGAAAAGAAGACAGUCCCUUGUGUGAUGUGCCAGGAUUUGAGAAUGCUAGAAUGAAGCUGUUGAGGCAUGUUUCAAUUGUGGAUUGUCUGGUAAAAUGACUGCUCGAACUAUUUUUGCAUUACCGUGGAACAUCUGUUAAUGAUUCUUUUGGAGAAUAUGUAUAUAGAUCUGUAAUGGAAUUUAUUUUUCACGAGUUAUUGACAUAUUAUUAACAUGCAACAUUUUUUCAUUUAUGUAGUCUUAGCCAUUGUAAAUAAUUUAUGUAAAAGUUUGUAAACAAUUUAUGUAUCUCUCUACUAUUUUGG